UUAAGUUAUAUAUAGAUAUAUACGAAUAUAUUUUGCCGACGACUUUCGUAUCGACCACAACGUUAAAGCGCACAGACGAUUAUUUGAAAAAUUAAUAAAUUUCAGAAGUUCGUGAGUUUUAACAUUUUUGAAAAAAUGAUGAAAAAAAUUACGUUGAUUCUUUGCGUUUCAUUAUUUCUCAUGAUAAUGGCGAGUGCUGAUGAAGAUCUCGACUACUGUACUCCACUUGGUCAUAAGUGUACUGAAGAAAUUUCAUGCUGCCAAAAUGAAACAUCUCAGAAUUUGGGAACCGAUGCAUUUUCCAGCAUUGAAUGUGUUUAUAGAGCAGAAAACUCAGCAUGGAUAUGUGUGGAAAUUAUUCAUUAUGAUUAAAUGACACUUGUUGAUUGUAAUAAUUAACUAUGCUUGCAUGUUCUUUCAAAUAAUAAACAUUUGUUUGAAUAAUUCAAA